rnacentral:rRNA from 1 species
CCAGCAGCCGCGGUAAUACCAGCACCUCAAGUGGUCAGGAUGAUUAUUGGGCCUAAAGCAUCCGUAGCUCGUUUUGUAAGUUUUCGGUUAAAUCCAUGCGCUUAACGUAUGGGCUGCCGGGAAUACUGCAUAACUAGGAAGUGGGAGAGGUAGACGGUACUCGGUAGGAAGGGGUAAAAUCCUUUGAUCUAUUGAUGACCACCUGUGGCGAAGGCGGUCUACCAGAACACGUUCGACGGUGAGGGAUGAAAGCUGGGGGAGCAAACCGGAUUAGAUACCCGGGUAGUCCCAGCUGUAAACUAUGCAAACUCAGUGAUGCAUUGGCUUGUGGCCAAUGCAGUGCUGCAGGGAAGCCGUUAAGUUUGCCGCCUGGGAAGUACGUACGCAAGUAUGAAACUUAAAGGAAUUGGCGGGGGAGCACGGACUGAGCUGCAU